GGAAUAGGACAUGACUGGCCAGUAGGAUUUCACAAACUAGGAGGCCCCCAGAGGAAUCUCAGGAAUGGGCUGGAAAUCCCAUCCGCCCUCCUUUUCCAGGUUUCUAUGCGCUGCCUUCGCUCCUCCCGCGUUUCGUUACAGUGAACCCUAGCCUCUGCAUUUCCAUCUGUCUGGAGCACACUCCCGUCUUCCGGAGGCCGGUUUAAAGGGGGAUGUACUUAAAACCCAGAAGUUCCUGAUCUGAAUCACAAGAGAAGCUGCUGUUUUAGAUUAACUAGAAAGGACAAGCCUCAGUGGUGGAUAGCCACGUAAACAAGGAGCAAAGCGACCCACAGACAAGGUCAAUGCAAGUGUGUAUUGUCAACCCCCAGGAGAUUUCAACCACAGAGAUGGUGAUGAUGGGGAUCGUUGCUGCUGAGAAGGCACACUGCAGCUCGGCGAUGGCAAGCAUGCCAGCAAUAUGCGGCUGCCUCAAGCAGAUUGCUGGAAUGGCCCGAUAUGAAUUUUCUAAGUAAAUAAAACAAAAGCACAGAACACAGCACA